CACAAUUAGAGAAGACCUAAAAAUCCCAAGAUACUCGAGCAAAAAAGACGACAGCACCAUCUUCAAAAAAAAUAAAAAUUGAAGACAAUCUUUCAAUUCCAAAAAUUUCAAGAGCUAAAAGCGGUAGAAACGCACCCCUUUUGGAACAAAAAACUAGCGACAACUUUCAUUUCUUCACCAAAACGAGCAACAACCAUGAAAUACAACCAUGAACCUCCAUGUAACUUCACCCAUAAUACCAUCCUUAUUUUCCCAACCAAACAGCACCAUUUCCAUCUCUGAAAAUCGAGCUCAAACCACCCCUGAAACUCCAGCGAAGCACCACAAACUUAAGCUCUAAAUCGGCCCAAAAAAUGACCCUUUAGCAUCCCAAAGAUGCUGCCAUAAAACCAGUUGAAAUGCCUUCUCAAAACAGCCUCAAAACAACCCCCAAAAUAACCCCCAAAUCGACGCAAAAAUUAGCUCAAAACAACCAGCCAAACACCUAAAAUUUCAGCGUCCAACCACCAUCCAAACUCAGUCGAAGCAUUAAAGCUUUCAGUCAAGGUUGCCGGCAAGUUUUUGAUGCUCCGUUCGUGGUCUCCGGGUGAACGGGUCUGCUUGAUUCAACUUCAUCGCUUUGUUCUUCUUGUAAGCUUGUUGGAAGAUCUUUGAUAAUUUGAAAAGUUAGUUUUUCUUCUCGUUUAUUGUUAUACUCUUCUUAUGUUUUUUUUUUUUUUUUCGCUUCUUAUUUCUAGGUGUUGUUUUAUUUUCAUAUUUUUGUUUGGUUUAUUUGAGAGUAUGUUAGUUGGACUAAUUUUCUUCCAUUAUGUGUUACCUUUAUUCAAUACAAUUCUAAUGUUUAAAAGUUCCAUUAUGUGUUCCAUGUGUUUAGAUCCAUUUUAAUCCUUAACGAAUAAUUUGAUAGUUAAGAAUAGAGAGGCCGAAGGAUUCGGGAGCUACAAGGAGUCUUGGGGUCGAGAUUAGUGAAUAAACAAAUUGGGCCAUUAAGCUGAAAUGUUAUCAAGCCCAGUCUAUUUGAAUAAAUAUCCAUAUGUUGGCCCAAUUGUAUUUAAUAAAUAAGCAUCAUCACCCAUAACCAAAUACAAAGCACCCGUAUAAAUUCUUUAGGCGCGGUUAUUAGAACUACUAUCGUAAUUGUGUACAUGUUCGCAUGACGUGAUUACAGUUCUUUCAGGUAAAUUCAUAUUACGCAUUCGCGUGACUUUGACUGAACUUUUUUUAACUAAACUAAGUGUCGGGAAUUGUAUAUAUAUACGCGUGAUAUGAUUUUUGACACACUAAAAUAAAAUGAGUAUAUGUACUCAUAACUCGUUUUAAAUAAUGAGUAAUCAAGUAAUUGAUAGCGGAUAAAAAUAGGUAAAAUAAACAUAGGUCCUAAAAUGAGUAAUUAGAUAAAAUAAGCCAAGUAUAAGUUGCCACACGGUCGUGCUAAAACAACGAAAUCCGGGAAUGCCUAAUACCUUUUUCCGGGUUAACAGAAUUCCUUACCUAGUUUUUACGGUUUUGACAUACUAUAAACGAAGCCAAAUUUUCCUCGUUUUGGAAUAUAAUGACUUGGGACGCCAUAAAAUUAUCUCAUGAUUUUGAAUUAAAUAAACAAUCUCAUUUGAUUAAUGUCACUUUAUUUGGAAAAACUCCUUAUAUCAUUCCCUCCGGUAAAAAGCAUGUAUGACAGCUCUGGCGACUCUGUUGGGACAAGAACCCAUAAUCUCUAGUUCAGGAUUCAGAAUUCGAGCUUGUUAAUGUGAUUUUACUUGACUUUAUUAAUUGUUGACAUUAUUGUAUUUGUGGGCCUAGUGUGCUAAUUGUCUCUCAUUUAUCGCUUUGAUAUUAUUUGAACUGUAUUAAACUAUCUUCUUACACCUCUCUUUUGAGUCUUUUAAAAAAAUAGUGCAUACGUUCGCGUGGCCCGCUUUUCUGUUAGAGGUCAUAUCAGACAGAACGAGGAUGGAUCGGUCACUAGGCCCAGAUCCGCCCAGCACUCACAGAUCCGCCCUGCACCAAACUGGGGCAGAAAGAAUUUCUUGUGUUUUGUUUGUAUUAUUGUGAUCAGGUACACAGGCAGCAGUCUCAGGGAAUAUUUUUCAAAAUUUCAAGUUUUGGUAAUCAGGUGCCCACCUAGAGAACAAUGGAAUAUUUUUCAAAAUUUCAAGUUUUAGUAAUUAGGCGCCCACAUGUAGAACAAAUCAAGAUUCAGGUUUUGGUAAUCAGGUGCCCACCUGGAGAGAAAGGGAAUAUUUUUCAAAUUUUUAUGUUUUGGUAAUUAGGCGUCCACCUGUAAAACAAGGGAAUAUUUUUAAAAUUCAAGUCUUGGUAAUUAGGCACCCACCUGGAGAACAAGAGAAUAUUUUUCAAAAUUUCAAGUUUUGGUAAUCAGGUGCCCACCUGGAGAACAAGGGAAUAUUUUUCAAAAUUUCAAGUUUUGGUAGUCAUGCGCCCACCUGUAGAACAAGGAAUAUUUUUUCAAGAUGCAAGUUUUGAUAAUCAGGCGCCCACCUGUAAAACAUGGGAAUAUUUUUCAAAAUUCAAGACUUGGUAAUCAGGCACCCACCUGGAGAGUUUUGGUAAUCAGGCGCCCACCUGUAGAACAACGGAAUAUUUUUCAAGAUGUAAGUUUCGAUAAUCAGGCGCCCACCUGCAGAACAAGGGAAUAUUUUUCAAGUUGCAAGUUUUAACAAUCAAGUGUCCACCUGUAGAACAAGGGAAUAUUUUUCAAAAUUCAAGUCUUGGUAAUCAGGCGUCCACCUGGNNNNNNNNNNNNNNNNNNNNNNNNNNNNNNNNNNNNNNNNNNNNNNNNNNNNNNNNNNNNNNNNNNNNNNNNNNNNNNNNNNNNNNNNNNNNNNNNNNNNNNNNNNNNNNNNNNNNNNNNNNNNNNNNNNNNNNNNNNNNNNNNGGUAAUCAGGCGUCCACCUGGAGAACAAGGGAAUAUUUUUCAAAAUUUCAAGUUUUGGUAAUCAGGCGCCCACCUGUAGAACAUGGGAAUAUUUUUUCAAAACUCAAGUCUUGGUAAUCAGGCGCCCACCUGUAGAACAAGGGAAUAUUUUUCAAAAUUCAGGUCUUGGUAAUCAGGCGUUCGCCUGGAGAACAAAGGAUUAUUUUUCAAAAUUUCAAGUUUUGGUAAUCAGGCGCCCACCUGUAGAACAAGGGAAUAUUUUUCAAGAUGCAAGUUUCAACAAUCAGGCGCCCACCUGCAGAACAAGAGAAUAUUUUUCAAGUUGCAAGUUCUGGCAAUCAGGCGCCCACCUGUAGAAAAAGGGAAUAUUUUUCAAAAUUCAAGUCUUGAUAAUCAGGCGUCCACCUGUAAAACAAGGGAAUAUUUUGCAAAUUUUAAAUUUUAUUAAUCAAGCGCCCACCUGUAGAAGAAGGGAAUAUUUUUCUAGGCGCCCACCUGUAGAACAAGGGAAUAUUUUUCAAGAUGUUAGUUUUGGUAACCAGGUGCCCGCCUGUAGAACAAGGGAAUAUUUUUGAAGUUGCAAGUUUUGAUAAUCAGGUGUCCACCUGCAAAACAAGGGAAUAUAUUUCAAGUCCAACAAUUCGGCAUCAAACAUGGUAGAAGAGGA
rnacentral:lncRNA from 1 species